rnacentral:rRNA from 1 species
CUACGUGCCAGCAGCCGCGGUAAUACGUAGGGCGCGAGCGUUGUCCGGAAUUAUUGGGCGUAAAGAGCUUGUAGGCGGUUUGUCGCGUCUGCUGUGAAAGGCCGGGGCUUAACCCCGUGUAUUGCAGUGGGUACAGGCAGACUAGAGUGCAGUAGGGGAGACUGGAAUUCCUGGUGUAGCGGUGGAAUGCGCAGAUAUCAGGAGGAACACCGAUGGCGAAGGCAGGUCUCUGGGCUGUAACUGACGCUGAGAAGCGAAAGCAUGGGGAGCGAACAGGAUUAGAUACCCUGGUAGUCCAUGCCGUAAACGUUGGGCACUAGGUGUGGGGGACAUUCCACGUUUUCCGCGCCGUAGCUAACGCAUUAAGUGCCCCGCCUGGGGAGUACGGCCGCAAGGCUAAAACUCAAAGAAAUUGACGGGGGCCCGCACAAGCGGCGGAGCAUGCGGAUUAAUUCGAUGCAACGCGAAGAACCUUACCAAGGCUUGAC